UACGUAGGGUGCAAGCGUUGUCCGGAAUUAUUGGGCGUAAAGAGCUCGUAGGCGGUUUGUCGCGUCUGGUGUGAAAAUCCAGGGCUUAACCCUGGACCUGCAUCGGGUACGGGCAGACUAGAGUGCGGUAGGGGAGAUCGGAAUUCCUGGUGUAGCGGUGAAAUGCGCAGAUAUCGGGAGGAACACCGGUGGCGAAGGCGGUUCUCUGGGCCUGUACUGACGCUGAGGAGCGAAAGCGUGGGGAGCGAACAGG
rnacentral:rRNA from 1 species